rnacentral:tRNA from 1 species
UCCUUGGUAGUCUAGUGGUUAGGAUUCAGCACUCGCACUGCCGCAGCCAGGUUCGACUCCCAGUCAAGGAA